rnacentral:rRNA from 1 species
GCCUUCACUUAGGAGAUCACUCAGCCUAUCUGUCAAUGAAGAGCAUGGCUGUCUGCAUGAACUGAUGAAAAUUGCAGGACUUAGUGAACAUUGACACCUCAAACGCACAUUGCGCCCACAGAAUCCCAUUGUCCCAGGGCCCUAUCUGAUCAAGAGGUU